rnacentral:rRNA from 1 species
UGCCAGACUCCUACGGGAGGCAGCAGUGGGGAAUAUUGCACAAUGGGGGAAACCCUGAUGCAGCGACGCCGCGUGAGUGAAGAAGUAUUUCGGUAUGUAAAGCUCUAUCAGCAGGGAAGAAGAUGACGGUACCUGACUAAGAAGCCCCGGCUAACUACGUGCCAGCAGCCGCGGUAAUACGUAGGGGGCAAGCGUUAUCCGGAUUUACUGGGUGUAAAGGGAGCGUAGACGGCGAUGCAAGCCAGAUGUGAAAGCCCGGGGCUCAACCCCGGGACUGCAUUUGGAACUGUGUGGCUGGAGUGUCGGAGAGGCAGGCGGAAUUCCUAGUGUAGCGGUGAAAUGCGUAGAUAUUAGGAGGAACACCAGUGGCGAAGGCGGCCUGCUGGACGAUGACUGACGUUGAGGCUCGAAAGCGUGGGGAGCAAACAGGAUUAGAUACCCGCGUACA